rnacentral:tmRNA from 1 species
GGGGUUGACUGGAUUUGACGGCGAGAUGAAAUGGUACGCAAGCACGCGGUGGCUCGAGGGUUUCCACCUAAAUCUGAGCUUUCAACAAAUUAAUUGGCAACACACAGUAUGCUCUCGCUGCUUAAUCGAAGCACAGUAGAUUACGAGCUUAAUUCCGUCACAAGGUGAUGGAACGAGACGUCGCCCCAAGGAUGUUGUUCCGAAUCUGAGGAAUCGGCGGCGCAGGUAAAUCGGAAAUAGUCAUGGUGUGCCUCGCCACUGUGAUGAAAUUUUAGAGGAUAAGGCGCCGGUUGGUGGUCCAGGUCUUGCCGUCGCACGAAAAUGAAGUCUGGAAUAAGCGUGUAGAAACCGUAUGGUUUCCUCGUGCGGACGCGGGUUCGAUUCCCGCCAGCUCCACC